rnacentral:rRNA from 1 species
GGUGGAGCAUGUGGUUUAAUUCGAUGCAACGCGAAGAACCUUACCUGGUCUUGACAUCCACAGAAUCUUGUAGAGAUAUGAGAGUGCCUUCGGGAACUGUGAGACAGGUGCUGCAUGGCUGUCGUCAGCUCGUGUUGUGAAAUGUUGGGUUAAGUCCCGCAACGAGCGCAACCCUUAUCCUUUGUUGCCAUCGGUUAGGCCGGGAACUCAAAGGAGACUGCCGUUGAUAAAGCGGAGGAAGGUGGGGACGACGUCAAGUCAUCAUGGCCCUUACGACCAGGGCUACACACGUGCUACAAUGGCGUAUACAAAGGGAGGCGACCUCGCGAGAGUAAGCGGACCUCAUAAAGUACGUCUAAGUCCGGAUUGGAGUCUGCAACUCGACUCCAUGAAGUCGGAAUCGCUAGUAAUCGUGAAUCAGAAUGUCACGGUGAAUACGUUCCCGGGCCUUGUACACACCGCCCGUCACACCAUGGGAGUGGGUUGCACCAGAAGUAGAUAGCUUAACCUUCGGGAGGGCGUUUACCACGGUGUGGUUCAUGACUGGGGUGAAGUCGUAACAAGGUAACCGUAGGGGAACCUGCGGUUGGAUCACCUCCUUAC